rnacentral:tRNA from 1 species
GGGCUUGUAGCUCAGAUGGCUAGAGCACACGACUGAUAAUCGUGAGGUCGCUGGUUCGAGUCCAGCCAGGCCCACCA